GUUCUCAGUACAGACAUGUUUACAGUCCGUCUAGAAACAAUGAUCCUGCUACCUUACAUUUGUAGAUUAACAUGAUUGUCUAAUUUCGUUGCUUAUAUGUACUAUAUAAAUUGUAUUUUUAAGACAACGUUGAAUUAGCAGACAAUAUCCAAGAUGUACGGAAACAAUAAGGUGCAAAAAAAAAUAAACAAAUGUAGCUUUGUAAUUAAUAUUGGGCUUGUGCAUCGAUAAAUGUGUUCCCUUGCAAUGCAAACUGAAUAUCAUAGCCAUAGCAUGUAAAAUAGAAAGCUAUUUGUAGGUUCGAAUAAACGAACCAGACCCUCCUAAUUUUCGACUUAUCUUUGUAAUGCAAAUCCAAAAAUUAUGUAGUUAUAUUAUGUAGAUACGUCGCCAGUUUUAAUUGCUUGCUAACUAGUUAGCUAUAUCCAGGAUUUGUUUACAUUAUUGAAUAUCAUGGACAGGGAGUCUUACUAUAACUGCUGCAGCCUUGUCAAAAUACCAAGGCAAUCUUAUGAAAAAUUCUGGUCUUCGCACUUUGUGGAUUACAUAGACAAGGAGUUGAGCUAUUCCAAAUUCUUUAAAAGGUACUUACUUCCCAACCACCCAUUCAUGUUCUCGAGGAAAUUCACUAGACUGGACAUGCAGAAAACAGUGGAUCACUGAAGAGGAGAAACCAACCUUCCAGAAACUGCUGCAGCAAUUUGAUGAGACUCUGGUUCCUGUUGCAAACAGUGAUGUGAAA